UAUAAAAAAAUCGGGAAUUUUUUUAUAUUUUUUUUUUAAUUAAAAAAUUUGAAAUUCUUUUAAUUUUUAAAUCCAAAAUAACCAAAAAAAUCAGAAUUUUUAAAAAUUAAAAUUUUCCAUUUUUAAUCCCAAAUUUUGCGGAAUUUUUUUAUUAAAAAUUUUUAAAUUUUGAUUUAAUUUUAAUUCCUAUUAAAAAUUUGAAUCUGAUUGAAUUUUUCCCGGGAAUUUUUUUCCCCUCCCCCCAAUCUAAAAAAAUCUAAAAUUAAAUGAAAAAUUUAAUUAAAAAUUCAAAAAUUUCCCGGGAAUUUUUUUUUCUACAUUUUUCCCGGGAAAAUUCGCUGCAUCUAAUGAAUAAAUUACCAUAAAUUAUGCAAAUGAGCCCCUCCCACCCCCUCCCUUUUUUUUCUAAUCCCGAAAUUUUUGGGGUUUUUUUGGUUGGAAAUUGGAGGAAAAAAUUGGGAAUUUUUAAAGGGAAAAUCCUGGAAUUGUUGGGAAAAUUUGGGAAUUUUUUCCUGGAAUUUUUUUCCUUUUUUUUGGGAUUUUUUUCCCAUUUUUUAGGGAAUUUUUCCCAUUUUUUUUUUUAAUUUUUUUCCCAUUUUUCCUGGAAUUUUCCUCUUUUUUUUCCUGGAUUUUUUUCCUUUUUUAGGGAAUUUUUUUUUAUUUUUGGGGGAUUUUAUUUUUUGGAUUUUUUCCCAUUUUUAGGGAGUUUUUCCCUUUUUUUUUUUUAAUUUUUUUCCCAUUUUUGGGGGGAUUUUUUCCCCAUUUUUUGGAAUUUUUUCCCAUUUUUUUCCCAUUUUUUCCCAUUUUUUUGGAAUUUUUUCCCCAUUUUUCCUGGAAUUUUCCUCUUUUUUUCCUGAAUUUUUUUUCCCUUUUUAUCCUUUUUUUCCUGGAAUUUUUUCCCAUUUUUUGGGGAAUUUUCCUCUUUUUUUCCUGAAUUUUUUUUCCCUUUUUAUCCUUUUUUUCCUGGAAUUUUUUCCCAUUUUUUGGGGAAUUUUUUCCCUUUUUUGGGGGAAUUUUUCCCAUUUUUUUCUCAUUUUUUCCCAUUUUUUUUGGAACUUUUUUCCCAUUUUUCCUGGAAUUUUCCUCUUUUUUUCUUGGAUUUUUUUCCCUUUUUCUCCUGUUUUUUCCUGGAAUUUUUUCCUUUUUUUUUUGGGAAUUUUUCCCAUGUUUUUCCCAUUUUUUUCCCAUUUUUUUCCCAUUUUUUCCCCAUUUUUCCCCCAUUUUCCCCCAUUUUUUCCCAUUUUUAUCUCAAAUUUUUCCCAAUUUUUAUUCCAAUUUUUCCCAUUUUUAUUCCAUUUUUCCCCCAAUUUUCCCCCCAUUUUUUCCCAAUUUUUUCCUAA
rnacentral:lncRNA from 1 species